GCUGAGCUCAGUAACGUGGGCUUGUGACCCAAGUGGGAGCUUUGAUGUGAUGGAACGUUGCCUUAGCUUAGAUAGCUGAGUUCGGUGGGGCUCGAAUCUGGCCUGCCCGUUCCAAGCCAUGAGUUGAGCCAUGGCAUCCUCCUGUAAACUGGGGUGUCAUGACUCCUAGAGUGGAGGGCACAGCGUGAGGCUGGUUUCACAGAGCAGCGAAUACCUCCCGCUCUUGGCAGUGGAAGGAUUACGGGACUGUGCUAUCUGGAUCCACAUGGCUUGAUGGGUUGGUCUUAAUUGGACCAUCACUUUU
rfam:Populus trichocarpa scaffold_18_contig_218, whole genome shotgun sequence.